AAAUUGAAGAGUUUGAUCAUGGCUCAGAUUGAACGCUGGCGGCAGGCCUAACACAUGCAAGUCGAGCGGAAACGAGUUGUCAGAACCUUCGGGGAACGACAACGGCGUCGAGCGGCGGACGGGUGAGUAAUGCCUAGGAAAUUGCCCUGAUGUGGGGGAUAACCAUUGGAAACGAUGGCUAAUACCGCAUGAUGCCUACGGGCCAAAGAGGGGGACCUUCGG
rnacentral:rRNA from 1 species